GGUUCGGUGGUCUGGGGGUAUGAUUGUCGGUCUGGGUGCGAGAGGUCCUGGGUUCAAAUCCCGGCCGAACCC
rnacentral:tRNA from 1 species